GACGAACGCUGGCGGCGUGCUUAACACAUGCAAGUCGAACGGAAAGGCCCUGCUUUGGUGGGGUGCUCGAGUGGCGAACGGGUGAGUAACACGUGAGUAACCUGCCCUUGACUUUGGGAUAACUUCAGGAAACUGGGGCUAAUACCGGAUAGGAGCUCCUGCUGCAUGGUGGGGGUUGGAAAGUUUCGGUGGUUGGGGAUGGACUCGCGGCUUAUCAGCUUGUUGGUGGGGUAGUGGCUUACCAAGGCUUUGACGGGUAGCCGGCCUGAGAGGGUGACCGGCCACAUUGGGACUGAGAUACGGCCCAGCCUCCUACGGGAGGCAGCAGUGGGGAAUAUUGCACUAUGGGAGGAAGCCUGAUGCAGUAACGCCGCGUGCGGGAUGACGGCCAUCGGGUUGUGAACCGCUUUCGCCUGUGACGAAGCGUGAGUGACGGUAAUGGGUAAAGAAGCACCGGCUAACUACGUG
rnacentral:rRNA from 1 species